rnacentral:rRNA from 1 species
UACGAAGGGGACUAGCGUUGUUCGGAUUUACUGGGCGUAAAGCGCGCGUAGGCGGAUCGCUAAGUCAGGGGUGAAAUCCCAGGGCUCAACCCUGGAACUGCCUUUGAUACUGACGAUCUGGAGAUCGGGAGAGGUUGGUGGAAUUCCGAGUGUAGAGGUGAAAUUCGUAGAUAUUCGCAAGAACACCAGUGGCGAAGGCGGCUCACUGGCCCGAUACUGACGCUGAGGCACGAAAGCGUGGGGAGCAAACAGG